rnacentral:rRNA from 1 species
UGGGGAAUUUUGGGACAAUGGGGGAAACCCUGAUCCAGCCAUCCCGCGUGUGCGAUGAAGGCCUUCGGGUUGUAAAGCACUUUUGGCAGGAAAGAAACGUCGCGGGUUAAUACCCCGCGAAACUGACGGUACCUGCAGAAUAAGCACCGGCUAACUACGUGCCAGCAGCCGCGGUAAUACGUAGGGUGCAAGCGUUAAUCGGAAUUACUGGGCGUAAAGCGUGCGCAGGCGGUUCGGAAAGAAAGAUGUGAAAUCCCAGAGCUUAACUUUGGGAACUGCAUUUUUAACUACCGGGCUAGAGUGUGUCAGAGGGAGGUGGAAUUCCGCGUGUAGCAGUGAAAUGCGUAGAUAUGCGGAGGAACACCGAUGGCGAAGGCAGCCUCCUGGGAUAACACUGACGCUCAUGCACGAAAGCGUGGGGAGCAAACAGGAUUAGAUACCCUGGUAGUCCACGCCCUAAACGAUGUCAACUAGCUGUUGGGGGCCUUCGGGCCUUGGUAGCGCAGCUAACGCGUGAAGUUGACCGCCUGGGGAGUAC